rnacentral:rRNA from 1 species
UACGUAGGGUGCGAGCGUUGUCCGGAAUUACUGGGCGUAAAGAGCUCGUAGGUGGUUUGUCGCGUUGUCCGUGAAAACUCACAACUCAAUUGUGGGCGUGCGGGCGAUACGGGCAGACUGGAGUACUGCAGGGGAGACUGGAAUUCCUGGUGUAGCGGCGGAAUGCGCAGAUAUCAGGAGGAACACCGGUGGCGAAGGCGGCACUCUGGGCCGGUACUGACGCUGAGGAGCGAAAGCGUGGGGAGCGAACAGG